AGGCCCGAAAGCAUCUAGUCCCAAAGACAUCGUUUGGAUUAUCAACUGAAAACUCGCUGAAAUUGAACAGAGGACUGAAAAACUGGUGCUACCGGAAAACAGGAACACUGUAGCUGCCGGAAAGGCACUGUAGCUGUCGGAAAAUUUCAACGUUGUCGGAAUUAAAAGUAAAAAUAUGGAUAGGCUCGGAAUUCAAGUAGGAGUAAACUGUCCUGAAGAAAUAUUG
rnacentral:lncRNA from 1 species